rnacentral:rRNA from 1 species
UGGGGAAUAUUGGGCAAUGGGCGCAAGCCUGACCCAGCAACGCCGCGUGAAGGAAGAAGGCUUUCGGGUUGUAAACUUCUUUUAUCAGGGACGAUAAUGACGGUACCUGAUGAAUAAGCCACGGCUAACUACGUGCCAGCAGCCGCGGUAAUACGUAGGUGGCAAGCGUUAUCCGGAUUUACUGGGUGUAAAGGGCGUGUAGGCGGGAUUGCAAGUCAGAUGUGAAAAUUAUGGGCUCAACCCAUAACCUGCAUUUGAAACUGUAGUUCUUGAGUGUUGGAGAGGCAAGCGGAAUUCCCGGUGUAGCGGUGAAAUGCGUAGAGAUCGGGAGGAACACCAGUGGCGAAGGCGGAUUACUGGACGACAACUGACGCUGAUACACGAAAGCGUGGGGAGCAAACAGGAUUAGAUACCCUGGUAGU